AGACUUUGAUCAUGGCUCAGAACGAACGCUGGCGGCAGGCCUAACACAUGCAAGUCGAGCGCAUCCUUCGGGGUGAGCGGCGGACGGGUGAGUAUCGCGUGGGAACGUGCCCUUCUCUACGGAAUAGUCUCGGGAAACUGGGGGUAAUACCGUAUACGCCCUUUUGGGGAAAGAUUUAUCGGAGAAGGAUCGGCCCGCGUUGGAUUAGGUAGUUGGUGGGGUAAUGGCUCACCAAGCCGACGAUCCAUAGCUGGUUUAAGAGGAUGAUCAGCCACACAGGGACUGAGACACGGCCCAGACUCCUACGGGAGGCAGCAGUGGGGAAUAUUGGACAAUGGGGGAAACCCUGAUCCAGCCAUGCCGCGUGAGUGAAGAAGGCCUUAGGGUUGUAAAGCUCUUUCGGUGGUGACGAUGAUGACGGUAGCCACAGAAGAAGCCCCGGCUAACUCCGUGCCGGCAGCCCGCGGUAAUACGGAGGGGGCCAAGCGUUG
rnacentral:rRNA from 1 species